CGCUGGCGGCAGGCCUAACACAUGCAAGUCGAGCGGUAACAGAAAAGAAGCUUGCUUCUUUUGCUGACGAGCGGCGGACGGGUGAGUAAUGCCUGGGAAUAUACCCUGAUGUGGGGGAUAACUAUUGGAAACGAUAGCUAAUACCGCAUAAUCUCUUCGGAGCAAAGAGGGGGACCUUCGGGCCUCUCGCGUCAGGAUUAGCCCAGGUGGGAUUAGCUAGUUGGUGGGGUAAUGGCUCACCAAGGCGACGAUCCCUAGCUGGUCUGAGAGGAUGAUCAGCCACACUGGAACUGAGACACGGUCCAGACUCCUACGGGAGGCAGCAGUGGGGAAUAUUGCACAAUGGGGGAAACCCUGAUGCAGCCAUGCCGCGUGUAUGAAGAAGGCCUUCGGGUUGUAAAGUACUUUCAGUUGUGAGGAAGGCGUUGGAGUUAAUAGCUUUAGCGUUUGACGUUAGCAACAGAAGAAGCACCGGCUAACUCCGUGCCAGCAGCCGCGGUAAU
rnacentral:rRNA from 1 species